rnacentral:rRNA from 1 species
AUUGAACGCUGGCGGCAGGCCUAACACAUGCAAGUCGAACGAGUGGCGGACGGGUGAGUAAUGUCUGGGAAACUGCCCGAUGGAGGGGGAUAACUACUGGAAACGGUAGCUAAUACCGCAUACCAUCGGAUGUGCCCAGAUGGGAUUAGCUUGUAGGUGGGGUAAAGGCUCACCUAGGCGACGAUCCCUAGCUGGUCUGAGAGGAUGACCAGCCACACUGUAACUGAUACACGGUCCAGACUCGUACGGGAGGCAGCCGUGGGGAAUAUUGCACAAUGGGCGCAAGCCUGAUGCAGCCAGGCCGCGUGUAUGAAGAAUGCCUUCGGGUUGUAAAGUACUUUCAGCGGGGAGGCGUUACCCUCAGAAGAAGCCCCGGCUAACUCCGUGCCAGCAGCCGCGGUAAUUC